CCCCUCGUACACAUUCUAAAGCCAAGGCCAGGCCAGCUCUUCAUUUCAACCAUCCAAAAGCAAACCAUGUGCCUGCGAAAUUUCCCAUUUUCUCUUUCAUAAUCCCAAGCAGUUCAACAUGGCUUUUUGCAUCAACUAUCAAAGUCUACCUCCAUGUUUAGGCAACAGCUGAUACUAUUCAAACAAGGUGGAAACUUUUCCUGCCAAAACAAAUCAGGAUACCUUCCUCACCUCGUUCAAACACAUUCACUUGUUUGCUGCUCACAUAUUCAACACAAUUAUACAUUUCAAGCUUCAAAGAAAGCUGCCACAAUUAUGUAGUUGCUAUGAUUAUGUGGUUCACGCAUGGAAAAUUUAAAGAAAGAAAAACUUAUUAAAAGAAGAACAUGAAAUGAUGAAAAGACAAGGGGCGGGGGUAGUUAUGCCACUGGCAAGAAGAGAACACAACAACAGAUUUAACAGUUAAAAUUGAACCGCAUCAUCCCCCCUGGAGAUUUCAAACCUCAGUAAUGCACGUAUUCAGGUAUUAGGUUCCCUACUGUUGUAAGCAAUGCACAAUCUAUUCACAAAGUGGCCUACAUAUGUUCAGCCACACCUUUUUUCACCUUCGAAGGAAAGCUACUCCAGUAUCUCCAUAGUGCUUCCAUAUUAGAUUCUUUUGCCAGGCAAAAAUGGCCUUUGAAGAGUUACCUCAAGCAAGCAUAACAUUUAUUUACCCAACAAUAAAACAUGCAACUAACAAUUAGCAUGGGGCUAGAAAAGGAUAUAACAUAUGAAUAAGCUCAUCAAAAGAGAAAACAAGCUAUCAUAAAAAUUAAAAACCAGAAGAACACUCCAAAUUUCUGCCCACUGUAGCACCAUCAUCAUCUCUUAAUCAAAUUAUAAUUCUGAAAAUAAUGUAGCAUAACACAAAAGCGCUUGUUAUGGACAGAAAAUGAUGGGCAUGGGAGAAUAAGAAUUUGAACCAUGCAAAGCUAGUUGAACUUAAAGGAGGGAACCAUAAAUCUAAAACAUAUGAACAGGUCUCAAGAGAAGCAUGCUAUCCCUUAAUUGGCCAACACUCUUAACAAUGUAAUAUGCUACAAGCGGAUAGUUAACAUAUGCCCACAAUAAUCCACACUAAUGGAAAUCUACACUCUUGUUUUUGGGAAACAACAGAAAAAGAUGCUAUGCUAUACUUAACGUCAGAUGAUAGAGUAUAUAAAUUCCAACACCAAAUAGCACAGCUAAUUACUACAACAUGAGACCUGCCAUCUACUUACAGAAAUUUUAUCCAAGCACCAUGCAAUUGAACCUAAAUGCUAGAAGGAUAAAAACACCAAGAAAUGGCAAACUGCUUGUAUAUAGGACAUAAAAGUAACUGUGUAAAGCAAAUAAAGAACAGUUGUCAAGGCACUGGCACAUGCAC
rnacentral:lncRNA from 1 species